UUCAAAAGGUGGACUUUCUAGACUUCCACAUGGCCCUGUCCUCCUCCUAAGCUGACUCUCUCUGUCUCCAUGGAUUUCUCCCGUCCAAUCCCUGCUCUGGGGAGUCUGACCUCAAGUGGCCCCAGGUGGCUCCUCCCCGAGACUUACCGUGUCAUUCUUCAUCAGGCCCACCAGCCUCCUGGCCUGAGCAGGCAGAUCCCUAGACGGCUCCGGCCACAGCCUGGUUUAGGAAGGCUCCGGGGCUGUUUUCUUUCCCAGUGCC